AUUGAACGCUGGCGGCAUGCCUUACACAUGCAAGUCGAACGGUAACAGGUUAAGCUGUCGAGUGGCGAACGGGUGAGUAAUACAUCGGAACGUGCCCAGUAGGGGGGGAUAGCCCGGCGAAAGCCGGAUUAAUACCGCAUACGACCUAAGGGCGAAAGGGGUGGAUCGCAAGACCUCUCGCUAUUGGAGCGGCCGCUGUCAGAUUAGCUAGUUGGUGGGGUAAAAGCUCACCAAGGCGACGAUCUGUAGCUGGUCUGAGAGGACGACCAGCCACACUGGGACUGAGACACGGCCCAGACUCCUACGGGAGGCAGCAGUGGGGAAUUUUGGACAAUGGGCGCAAGCCUGAUCCAGCCAUGCCGCGUGCGGGAAGAAGGCCUUCGGGUUGUAAACCGCUUUUGUCAGGGAAGAAAUCCUUUGGGUUAAUACCUCGGGGGGAUGACGGUACCUGAAGAAUAAGCACCGGCUAACUACGUG
rnacentral:rRNA from 1 species